rnacentral:lncRNA from 1 species
AGGCAGUUAAACAGUAUCUGAUAAAUCAUAAAUUGCCAUUUUGAAAGAUUUAUGAUAGUGUUAUUUUUUAUUAAUAUUGCCAGAUUAAAAAUUCUGUACAUUUUAUAUACUGUAUAUGUAAUCUUUGAACAAAAACUGAAUUGCCAUUUAUCAAAUAAUGACAUGAAAGAAUGUGAUAAAAACAUUUUGAUAUUGUUAGUUUCUACUAAUCAAAUCUGUAAACAUCAUGUUGAAGAUGUAUUUAAUUAUACAAAAAAAGGGAUCCUUCUAUUUGAAUAAUGUUCUAUUGUUUAUGGUAUAUUUAAGUGAUUGUACAUAUUGACUGUCCAGUUCAAAAGUGUUGCAGCUUUUGUAAAAGGAAAUCUAGGAUGACUUGAUGCAACUAUACUGAAAUUAUGAAUGCUCUUUCUCUCCUCUGUUUGUUCAUAUUGAACUAAUAUUUCUAAUUCUGUAUACUAUUUAUUCCUUCGGAUUUUUAAAGCUUGAUAUGUUGAAUUAACUUGUUAGAACAUUUUUGACCUUGGCAGUUAAUAUUAGACAGAUACUGUACAUAAACAUUGUAAGAUCUGAUAAAACUAUUCUAAGAAGGUAAACUUUAUUUGAUGG